UGCGUAGGCGGAAGAAUAAGUCAGUGGUGAAAUCCUGCAGCUCAACUGUAGAACUGCCAUUGAAACUAUUCUUCUUGAGUAUAGUUGAGGUGGGCGGAAUGUGUCAUGUAGCGGUGAAAUGCUUAGAUAUGACACAGUACACCGAUUGCGUAGGCAGCUCACUAAACUAUCACUGACGCUGAGGCACGAAAGCGUGGGGAGCGAACAGGAUUAGAUACCCUGGUAGUCC
rnacentral:rRNA from 1 species